ACAGUGGACGCGAGCAUCUUUGUUGUAAGUGUUUAAGAGCGUACGGUGGAUGCCUUGGCACCAGGAGCCGAUGAAGGACGUAGGAGGCUGCGAUAAGCCUCGGGGAGCUGUCAACCGAGCUGAGAUCCGAGGAUGUCCGAAUGGGGAAACCCAGCCACAGUGAUGUGUGGUUACCCGCGCCUGAAUAUAUAGGGCGUGUGGAGGGAACGUGGGGAAGUGAAACAUCUCAGUACCCACAGGAAGAGAAAACAACAUGUGAUUCCGAGUAGUGGCGAGCGAAAGCGGAAGAGGCUAAACCAUGGGUGUGUGAUAGCCGGCGGGCGUUGCAUUCGUGGGGUGUGGGAUCCGUCUUGUCAAUUCUGCCGGAUUGGCCGACAGUGAGAAAUCAUCGUGUUAGUCGAAGUGGUCUGGAACGGCCUGUCGUAGAGGGUGAGAGUCCCGUAGACGAAAACAUGGUGACUGUCGUGACGGACACCCGAGUAGCAGCGGGCCCGUGAAAUCUGCUGUGAAUCUGUCGGGACCACCCGAUAAGCCUGAAUACUCCCUGGUGACCGAUAGCGGACUAGUACCGUGAGGGAAAGGUGAAAAGUACCCCGGGAGGGGAGUGAAAUAGUACCUGAAACCGUGCGCUUACAAUCCGUCAGAGCCUGCGCACUUCGGUGGGUGGGUGAUGGCGUGCCUUUUGAAGAAUGAGCCUGCGAGUUAGCGGCAUGUCGCGAGGUUAACCGUGUGGGGUAGCCGUAGCGAAAGCGAGUCCGAAUAGGGCGUUUGUAGUGGCAUGUUCUAGACCCGAAGCGGAGUGAUCUACCCAUGGCCAGGGUGAAGCGACGGUAAGACGUCGUGGAGGCCCGAACCCACUUAGGUUGAAAAAUGAGGGAUGAGCUGUGGGUAGGGGUGAAAGGCCAAUCAAACUCCGUGAUAGCUGUUCUCCCCGAAAUGCAUUUAGGUGCAGCGUCGCGUGUUUCCACUCGGAGGUAGAGCUACUGGAUGGCCGAUGGGCCCCACAAGGUUACUGACGUCAGCCAAACUCCGAAUGCCAGAGUGUGAGAGCGCGGCAGUGAGACUGCGGGGGAUAAGCUUCGUAGUCGAGAGGGAAACAGCCAGAUCGCCGGCUAAGGCCCCUAAGCGUGUACUAAGUGGAAAAGGAUGUGGGGC
rnacentral:rRNA from 1 species